rfam:Triticum urartu cultivar G1812 contig1038418, whole genome shotgun sequence.
CUACUGCUCCCUUUGUUCCGAAUUACUUGUCGCAGGUAUGAAUGUAUCUAGAUGUAUUUUAGUUCUAUAUACAUCCAUUUCUGCGACGAGUAAUUUGAAACGGAGGGAGUACCAU